UUCUCCAUACAAGCAUUUUUUAAAAGCCCCCCAAACUGAAAAUCCUACGAACCCACGGCCACACGCAUAAAACUUUGCUCUUCAAUUGCGACCUUUCUCUCUCACUCCAAUCUCUAUCCCCAACGACCCAUAAAAUCCAACUGCCCAUUUGCAAGAAUCAUAAGAUUAAUCAAUAGUCACAACUUCAACCAUUGAUCUUCUCUGUUUGCCAAUGUGGUGGGUUUGUUAUUGUUCUUCGAGAAGUCAGAGGCAUGUAUUAUCUCCCCUUCAAAUAUUUGAGUUGAAGAAAUGCCAGAUUUAAAGGAGAUUUUGCUUUUGCAUGUCAAUUCCCAAUUAUUAAGACUAUGAAUUAUGGAGCAAAGCAAAUGAGGAUGGCUUCAAUUAAGGAUAUACGUCUUAACACAACUGUAGUUUAGGAAUGGCUUUUCCAAUUAGGGCAUUCUUGUGCUUCAUUUCGAAACAAUUGAGCUUUGCUUGAAGCUUCAAGAAAAGUUAAUUUUAAAGAUUUCUUAAGACAAGGCUUGCAUCUGGAAGGAAACAAAGGUCUCUUCUCACAAAAGCAUGCAAGAGGAAGUCCUCCCUGCACAGUAGUUCGAGGUUGUUAACUAAAGGUACAAAUAAGUUAUACAAAGUUAGAGGUUGUUUUUAACUUUGUACGUGGGUAGAACAAAGCAAUCAAAUUUCUCAUUUUGGUGUACUGUUUUAAGAGAUUUGAGCUUUUU